GACGAACGCUGGCGGCGUGCCUAAUACAUGCAAGUCGAACGCACAGUUUAUACCGUAUCUUUCUACACCAUAGACUGUGAGUUGCGAACGGGUUAGUAACGCGUAUGUAACCUGCCUGGUAGCGGGGGAUAACUAUUGUAAACGAUAGCUAAUACCGCAUAAUAUUGAUUAUUGCAUGAUAAUUGAUUUAAAGAUGCUAUUGCAUCACUACUAGAUGGACCUGCGUUGUAUUAGCUAGUAGGUGAGGUAACGGCCUACCUAGGCGACGGUACAUAGCCGACCCGGAAGGGAGAACGGCCCACCUGGGAAUGGGAAAAGGCCCAGACUCCUAAGGGAGGCAGCAGUAGGGGAUUAUCGGAAAUGGAGGAAAGUCUGAACGCGCCAAGCCGGGUGAGAGAAGAAGGUUUUCGGAUCGGAAAGGUAUGUUGUAAGAGAAGAAAGGGAGUGAGAGUGGAACGCUCACACUGUGACGGUAUCUGAACAGAAAGGAACGGCUAACUCCGUG
rnacentral:rRNA from 1 species